rnacentral:rRNA from 1 species
UACGAAGGGGGGCUAGCGUUGCUCGGAAUCACUGGGCGUAAAGGGUGCGUAGGCGGCGCGGUAAGUCGGGUGUGAAAUCCCCAGGCUUAACCUGGGAACUGCAUUCGAGACUGCAUUGCUAGAGUAUGGGAGAGGGAAGUGGAAUUUCCGGUGUAGCGGUGAAAUGCGUAGAUAUCAAGAGGAACACCUGAGGUGAAGACGGGUUGCUGGGCUGACACUGACGCUGAGGCGCGAAAGCCAGGGGAGCAAACGGG